rnacentral:rRNA from 1 species
CCUACGGGAGGCAGCAGUGGGGAAUAUUGGACAAUGGGGGCAACCCUGAUCCAGCAAUGCCGCGUGAGUGAUGAAGGCCUUAGGGUUGUAAAGCUCUUUUACCAGGGAUGAUAAUGACAGUACCUGGAGAAUAAGCUCCGGCUAACUCCGUGCCAGCAGCCGCGGUAAUACGGAGGGAGCUAGCGUUGUUCGGAAUUACUGGGCGUAAAGCGCACGUAGGCGGUUACUCAAGUCAGAGGUGAAAGCCCGGGGCUCAACCCCGGAACUGCCUUUGAAACUAGGUAACUAGAAUCCUGGAGAGGUGAGUGGAAUUCCGAGUGUAGAGGUGAAAUUCGUAGAUAUUCGGAAGAACACCAGUGGCGAAGGCGGCUCACUGGACAGGUAUUGACGCUGGGGUGCGAAAGCGUGGGGAGCAAACAGGAUUAGAUACCCUGGUAGUCCACGCCGUAAACGAUGAUAACUAGCUGUCCGGGCACAUGGUGUUUGGGUGGCGCAGCUACGACAUUAAGUUAUCCGUCCGUCGGGUAGGUACGGUCGUCGAGAGUUAAACUAACGAAAGAAAGUUAGACGGCGUGUAGACGUUAGCGAACGACGACGACGAGGGAGGAGG